GUGGCUUGGGUAAUGCCUAGGAGAGUGGUGGAGCUGAUGGGUUGUUGGAGGAAAUUGCAGAGCAGUCAUCAAGUGGCAGCAGUUUGGAGAAUGAUUCCGUUGUGUAUCAUGUGGUGUAUUUGGACAGAAAGGAAUAUGCGAUGCUUCGAAGACAAGGAAAGAACAAUGAUGGAGCUGAAGAAUUAUUUUCUGCACACUUUAUUGCUCUGGUUUUCAGCUAUUGUAUUAAAUGGGGAUGAUAUACAUGAAUUCCUAUCUUUAGUUUAACGCUCUUAGAAUGUAUCUAGGUGUUCAACUGUAUACUUCCUGUGUACUAGGUAUAUGCCUAUUUCAUUCACAUCAAUAAAGUUUAUAUCUUA